rnacentral:rRNA from 1 species
GCUGUUAAGGGUUCGUAGUUGAAUUGGGAGCUGUUUUUAAAAAGGAGACGAGUCAGUCCCUCCAUCGGAUCGGUGACCCUCCCUCUUUCAGCUCGUGAACAUCAGAAACACUCAUCACGGAAUGGUACCCCCCGAAGAAAACCCUUCGAAUGGUUCCACGCAUGCCAUGCAUGCAGGGGGGCGUCCGUGUGUUUUCUGUGACUAAAAAAACGCGACCAAAGCAGUCGUUCGACAUGAUUUGAAAGCAUGGGAUAACAACGCAGCAGCCUACGGGUUACCGUUUUGGCUUUUGUUGGUUUUAAGAUCUGUGGGAGAUUAUGGACUCGCACGACAAGCGGUUCGGGGUUUUUGUCCCCCGCCCCCGCCGGCUGGCUUGCCCUCGGGCUCCAACGGCGGCUUGCGCAUUUGUCCAGGAUGAAGGAGGGUUGUUCGGGGGAGAACGUACUUGAGCGUGAGAGGUGAAAUUCUUAGACCGCUCAAGACGAACUACAGCGAAGGCAUUCUCCAAGGAUACCUUCCUCAAUCAAGAACCAAGUGUGGAGAUCGAAGAUGAUUAGAGACCAUUGUAGUCC